UACGGAGGGGGCUAGCGUUGUUCGGAAUUACUGGGCGUAAAGCGGGUGUAGGCGGAUCUCUAAGUCGGGGGUGAAAGCCCUGGGCUCAACCCAGGAAUUGCCUUCGAUACUGGAGAUCUCGAGUGUGGGAGAGGUGAGCGGAAUUCCGAGUGUAGAGGUGAAAUUCGUAGAUAUUCGGAGGAACACCAGAGGCGAAGGCGGCUCACUGGACCACUACUGACGCUGAGACCCGAAAGCGUGGGGAGCAAACAGG
rnacentral:rRNA from 1 species